CCCCGGUAAACGGCGGCCGUAACUAUAACGGUCCUAAGGUAGCGAAAUUCCUUGUCGGGUAAGUUCCGACCUGCACGAAUGGCGUAAUGAUGGCCAGGCUGUCUCCACCCGAGACUCAGUGAAAUUGAACUCGCUGUGAAGAUGCAGUGUACCCGCGGCAAGACGGAAAGACCCCGUGAACCUUUACUAUAGCUUGACACUGAACAUUGAGCCUUGAUGUGUAGGAUAGGUGGGAGGCUUUGAAGUGUGGACGCCAGUCUGCAUGGAGCCGACCUUGAAAUACCACCCUUUAAUGUUUGAUGUUCUAACGUGGACCCGUAAUCCGGGUUGCGGACAGUGUCUGGUGGGUAGUUUGACUGGGGCGGUCUCCUCCUAAAGAGUAACGGAGGAGCACGAAGGUUGGCUAAUCCUGGUCGGACAUCAGGAGGUUAGUGCAAUGGCAUAAGCCAGCUUGACUGCGAGCGUGACGGCGCGAGCAGGUGCGAAAGCAGGUCAUAGUGAUCCGGUGGUUCUGAAUGGAAGGGCCAUCGCUCAACGGAUAAAAGGUACUCCGGGGAUAACAGGCUGAUACCGCCCAAGAGUUCAUAUCGACGGCGGUGUUUGGCACCUCGAUGUCGGCUCAUCACAUCCUGGGGCUGAAGUAGGUCCCAAGGGUAUGGCUGUUCGCCAUUUAAAGUGGUACGCGAGCUGGGUUUAG
rnacentral:rRNA from 1 species